ensembl:lncRNA
GGAGAGAACGAGUUUUUCAGGGACCAUGAUGAUUUCCUGGCCCAUGAUGAUGACUGGCUAAUAAGCCGAUUUAGAUUCCCUAGAGCUGUGCUCUUGGAUCUAUGUGCUGAAUUGGGUCCAGUAUUAGAGAGGGCAACACGCCGGAACCAUGCCAUCCCAGUCCAAAUACAAGUCCUCACCACUCUGGGGUUCUUGGCAACCGGCUGUUUCCAGCGGGAAUUGGCAGACAGCAUUACGACCCCGAGCCACAGCCCCCUGGCCGACAAGAGGGAUAUCAACGAGGUGCAAGAAUCCGUGAGGAUGUCAUGCGGCGUUUGUAAAGAAAGACAAAACUCAAGGUUCAUGUUUUAACUGCAUCUUUUAAUGAUUGUGCAAUUUCUUGCAUCACUUCUCUCAUCUGCCGUAGCUCAUCUGCAACCCCGUUGACAGCGUUUAUUGUCUCUCGCUGUAACUGCAGGACUGCGUCAGUGAGUACCCGACCACUUUUGGACGUGCCAGACGCAGAAGGGGCACUGCUUUGAGCCGGACGCUGUGCAUCUGCAUCUGAGAACCCCUCACCCUGAACCUCCUGUUCAUUUACAGCUUCAGACUCCGGAAGGACUGGAGGACAAACAAUUGGCAACAUUUAUCCAUUUAUCACCCCACACACUCAAAUGUACAGCGUUAAUGAUUAAAAAUCGGUUUAACCUUGCUCCUCUGUGGUUUCAGUCACGUCAGUGUCUCCCUCCUUUUCCGACACAAUACCACACACGCUGACCUCCCCCAAUUAUAGCCGCGAUUUUUGCUGUCCACUGAUGUGAGAUCAGCUGUACAUGGGCCCCCCACCAGUUGCAGCCACGCUCUGGCGGUGGGAGGACAGUUUUCUCUUUGCCUCCACCUUGAAUGAAUGAGAAUAUUAAUUUCAAAUAUUGUGCAUACUGUAAGCACAUGUAAAUAAAACUAUUUUUGAAAAUCAAUAUUGCUAUUUAUAUAGGUAUAUAGCCUAAUAAAACACAAAUGUAAUAUGUUGGUAAAAAAAAAAUUUGUAUACCUUCAGGUCGGACCAUUUUUUCUUUAAUUCUGCAACUGUCCGUUCUGUCCCACUGACACAAUUGACGGCAGAAGCAAUACUUUGCCACUCGCACUGCUUCUUUUUUUAUUAGUGACCCCACUGCUGUGGCCACCAAAUAACACAGUUUUCCGAGCCUCCACCUCCCCUACAAGUGUUUCAAUCUCAGUAUCUGAGAAAUUACGUUUUUUUCCUCUUUUUCUCACCUGUCGCCAUUAUUAAAAUUAGGCUAACAGAAAUGCACGUUUUCACUUUCUUGGAUUAAUUAAUUGGCGGGUCGCAUGCCAGUUUUCCAGGUAUAUAUGGGAUUCCACUCUCAUUUACAUGCUGAUCAGCAAUCAUGAGGUGAUUUGCAUUGACUAUUUAUGGUUAAAAAUGGGCGUGUACAGGGCGGGAUAUGAGGCUGGUUCACGUACGCACAUCUGCGGGUGAUCUGUGAUUUAUAAAGGGAACAUUGCUUACAGGUGUGCGUACGCACGGUUUUAUAAAUCGGAAUAUUUUUUGGCGUACGCCAUUUUUGGCUUUUGGGCGCACGUAAACUUUUAGUAAAGAUCCUACGCAUAGUUUUAUAAAUGAGACCCCAGGACAUUUAAAAACUGACUGAAGUUAGUUUCAAUAAAUGAAUUAUUCUACUGUUUUACAAAGCGAUCUUUUUGUGGUCAGUUAUGAAAAAAAAUCGUACUUAUAUUUUCAUACAAUAAUCUUAACCCGUUCAAUCCCAAAUUUUUCCCAGACACGGAACAAAAUCGUUUCAUUAGUAAAAAUGUUUCAUUAGUAACCCGUUGAAAUAACCAAUAAUAAUAAUAAUAAUAAUAAUAUAUAUAUAUAUAUAUAUAUAUAUAUAUAUAUAUAUAUAUAUUUUUUUUUUUUUUUGGAAAAGUGUGUAAAAAAGAGUUUUAUUGUCAAUGUAUUUUAAAAAAUGUUACUUUAUUGUAACAUACUGUCUAUCACAAAAAAAUAUAUAUUUGUGUUACCAGCAACAUCAA